UACAGAGGGUGCGAGCGUUGUCCGGAAUCACUGGGCGUAAAGGGCGCGUAGGCGGCGCGGUAAGCGUGCGGUGAAAGCCCGGGGCUCAACCCCGGGUCCGGCCGUGCGGACCUGCCCGGGCUGGGAGCACUGUAGAGGCAGGUGGAAUUCCGGGUGUAGGCGGUGAAAUGCGCAGAUAUCAGGAGGAACACCUAUGGCGAAGGCAGCUCGCUGGGACGGUACUGACGCUGAGACGCGAAAGCGUGGGAGCGAACAGG
rnacentral:rRNA from 1 species